rnacentral:lncRNA from 1 species
CCUCGCUACGCUCACAAAGUGCAAUUUUUAUUAUUCUAUUCAUUUUAUAUUUGUCUUGAAUUUCCUCUUCGAUACCUUCCUUUCUAACUUGCAACUCUUCAUAUGAUUUUAACUUUUCGUUUAAUUCUGUGUUUUGUCUUUUAUAUUACGGACUUCAAUUUUCAGCUCCUGAACUUUCUUGUACUGUUCGUUCAGUUGUUUUCUUACCAUUGAUUGCUGAGUUUUUAAUCUGUCAUUUUCCAAUUUCAGUUCUUCUAAAGUUUUCUCCUUUACAUAUUAUUCAUAAUUUGACUAUUCC